UGCGUUCUUAGCUCAGUUGGUUAGAGCACCACCUUGACAUGGUGGGGGUCGAUGGUUCGAGUCCAUUAGAACGCACCAU
rnacentral:tRNA from 1 species